AGCUGAGGUCACUGGAGUGUGCUCUGAUUUGGCUGUUUGUGUCUGGCCCCCCACAUUCAUAUGUUGAAAUCCUAAUGCCCAUUGUGUUGGUAUUUGGAGGUGGGGCCUCUGGGAGGUGCUUCAGUCACAGGGUGGAGCCCUCAUGCUCAUAUAAAAGAGAUCCCAGAGAACUUUCUCCCCAUUUCUGCCAUAUGAGGACAGAGAGAGGAGUCAGCCUGUCUGCAGUCCGGAAGAGAGCCUUCACCAGACUUUGAAUCUGCCAGCACCAUGAUCUUGAACUCCCGAACCUCCAGAACUGUGAGAAGUAAAUGUUUGCUGUUUGUAAGCGCACCCAGCCUAUGGUAUCUUGUUACAGCAGUCCGAAUGGCCUAAGACAGGGUGGAUUCCUUAACUCCAAGAGUGUGGAAUCUCCUUCAGUGGUAAUUUGAAACAGAACAGUGUCCAUCUCACGUGAAGGACACAGAGGACAAGAGCUACCCUAAGGGACACCUCCUAGCCUUUCAACUGUGGGCUGCUCCGAGAAGCAACACUCAUCCCAUUCCAGAAGAACAAAAUCACAGCAUGACGUUGAAACGUGGCACGAACCUGGGGGAACUUAACCAUCUGCCUGCGAACGUGUGGAGCUUCGGUAUUGCCAAACUCGGGGCUGGGCGGAUCCCCGGGCUAGCCAGGCUUGGCGCGGCCCCCCACAGCAGGAGGAAGGAACAUCAGAGGCUGGAUCAUCUAAACCUCUUAUUUUACAGGCACACCAGUGAGAACUCUGGG